UACGUAGGGGGCUAGCGUUGUCCGGAAUCAUUGGGCGUAAAGAGCGUGUAGGCGGCCCGGUAAGUCCGCUGUAAAAGUCAAAGGCUCAACCUUUGAAUGUCAGUGGAUACUGCCGGGCUAGAGUCCGGAAGAGGCGAGUGGAACUCCUGGUGUAGCGGUGGAAUGCGCAGAUAUCAGGAAGAACACCGGUGGCGAAGGCGGUUCUCUGGGCCUGACCUGACGCUGAGGAGCGAAAGCGUGGGGAGCGAACAGG
rnacentral:rRNA from 1 species